rnacentral:rRNA from 1 species
GACGAACGCUGGCGGCGUGCUUAACACAUGCAAGUCGAACGGAAAGGCCCUGCUUUUGUGGGGUGCUCGAGUGGCGAACGGGUGAGUAACACGUGAGUAACCUGCCCUUGACUUUGGGAUAACUUCAGGAAACUGGGGCUAAUACCGGAUAGGAGCUCCUGCUGCAUGGUGGGGGUUGGAAAGUUUCGGCGGUUGGGGAUGGACUCGCGGCUUAUCAGCUUGUUGGUGGGGUAGUGGCUUACCAAGGCUUUGACGGGUAGCCGGCCUGAGAGGGUGACCGGCCACAUUGGGACUGAGAUACGGCCCAGACGCCUACGGGAGGCAGCAGUGGGGAAUAUUGCACAAUGGGCGGAAGCCAGAUGCAGCAACGCCGCGUGCGGGAUGACGGCCUUCGGGUUGUAAACCGCUGUCGCCUGUGACGAAGCGUGAGUGACGGUAAUGGGUAAAGAAGCACCGGCUAACUACGUG